UCUUGUAACCAAACGCAUCCCAUCUGACUCACUGGGCACCUGACUCCAGUUGUGUAAAACAGGCCCAGAUAGCUUGCCUUUGCCUCCGUUGGCGUGUGGUGGACAAUUGUAAAUUUCCUUGUAAGGUAUAUUAGUCCGUUCUCACGCUGUUAUAAAGAACUGCUCAAGACUGGGUCAUUUAUAAAGGAAAGAGGUUUAAUUGACUCACAGUUCUGCACGGCUGGGGAGGCCUCAGGAAACUUACAAACAUGGCAGAAGGGAAAGGAGAAGCAGGCGCCUUCUUCAUAGGGUGGCAGGACAGAGUGAGAGCAAGCAGGGGAAAAUGCCAGAUGCUUAUAAAACCAUCAGAUCUCAUGAGAACUCACUAUCAUGAGGACAGCAUGGUGGUAAUCACUCCCAUGAUUCAAUUACCUCCCACAGGGUCCCUCCAACGACAUGUCGGGAUUAUGAGAACUACAAUUCAAGAUGAGAUUUGGGUGGGGACACAACCAAACGAUAUCAUAAGAAUCCUGAUUUUGUUUGGAAGGACAGCGUGCCUGGUUCCAGGAUAUACAUCUUUCCACACCAAUAGACCUUGUUUUCCGAUGUAGCAUUAUUUUUCAUAGUUGGCGAAUAUACAGUUAUGGAUUCAUAACAGCAAGAUGGAGAAAUUGCACUGCAGAGAAAUCUUUAAAAGCAAUUACCUAAUACUGCAGAUUGCUGAACUGUACCCACACCCAAGACUGAGCAUUGGAUCAAUCCAGAAUAUACAUCAGGUGUUCUGCAAUGUCUGCCUAAAACCAUGACUCUGCCUCCUCCAGCUGUUGCUACAUCUCACUAUGGGUUUCCUGUGACAUUUUGAGCAAGUAUGCCUCUGUGACUGGGGUUCUUACACUCCAGAAUGGAUGAGAAGCACCGUAAGUGGCUUUUAAAAUGAAUAUUCCCUGGCCCUUCAGUCGCUCUAUAGGUCAAGAAUCUGAAUUCUCAACCUGUCUAGAAGGUUCUGGUUUUAAUGGUCUGUGGGCUGCACAUUGAGAAACCUGUUCAGCGAGUGCAACAAAGGUUCCACAUGUGAGAAAGGAAGCAUCAGGUCUCUUGAGCCUGUUCUUUAAUCUGUAGGCUGCACCUUCUCUUUAAAUUCUGCUAAUAACACCAUGCGAGAAAACACCCGAGCUUGAAAAGCCCAUGUUCCAACAUAACUGUCCUUCACCACUCUGGAAAAUUAAUGGUUUGUUUCGAUUAUCCCUUUGUUAAACUCCAAAGUCAAAGAGCUCUGAAAGGCAUACGGUUAUUUUAAGUUUCAGGUGAUUUCUGUUGCCAAAUAUUUUAAAAAUUUAAAAUUGCUACGUGACCUCUUAGUAGUACUAUUAGAUUUCCUGACAAUAAAAAUAAGUCUUUUGGUUUCACCAUUUAUAGUUAGUACAGCUAAUAUUAAGUAUAAUUUUAAAAGCCUUUUAUUUUCUCAGAAAGAAAAAAUAAUCAAAAUCUGCUCAGUGUGGUAUUGAAUAAUUAAAAACAAAAGAACAGUAUCUUCACAUUAG
rnacentral:lncRNA from 1 species